rnacentral:rRNA from 1 species
ACGCUCGACACCUACGGGAGGCAGCAGUGGGGAAUAUUGCACAAUGGGGAAACCCGUGAUGCAGCGACGCCGCGUGAGCGAAGAAGUAUUUCGGUAUGUAAAGCUCUAUCAGCAGGGAAGAAACUGACGGUACCUGACUAAGAAGCACCGGCUAAAUACGUGUCAGCAGCCGCGGUAAUCUGAGCGGGCUGGCAAGGC